GACGAACGCUGGCGGCGUGCUUAACACAUGCAAGUCGAACGGAAAGGCCCUGCUUUUGUGGGGUGCUCGAGUGGCGAACGGGUGAGUAACACGUGAGUAACCUGCCCUUGACUUUGGGAUAACUUCAGGAAACUGGGGUUAAUAUCGGAUAGGAGCUCCUGCUGCAUGGUGGGGGUUGGAAAGUUUCGGCGGUUGGGGAUGGACUCGCGGCUUAUCAGCUUGUUGGUGGGGUAGUGGCUUACCAAGGCUUUGACGGGUAGCCGGCCUGAGAGGGUGACCGGCCACAUUGGGACUGAGAUACGGCCCAGACUCCUACGGGAGGCAGCAGUGGGGAAUAUUGCACAAUGAGCGGAAGCCUGAUGCAGCGACGCCGCGUGCGGGAUGACGGCCUUCUGGUUGUAAACCGCUUUCGCCUGUGACGAAGCGUGAGUGACGGUAAUGAAUAAAGAAGCACCGGCUAACUACGUG
rnacentral:rRNA from 1 species